AUGGCUCAGAUGAACGCUGGCGGCGUGCUUAACACAUGCAAGUCGAACGCGAAAGGGACUUCGGUCCUGAGUAAAGUGGCGCACGGGUGAGUAACGCGUGGAUAAUCUGCCCUUAUGAUCGGGAUAACAGUUGGAAACGGCUGCUAAUACCGGAUACGCUCAAAAUGAACUUUUUGAGGAAAGAUGGCCUCUGCUUGCAUGCUAUCACGUAAGGAUGAGUCCGCGUCCCAUUAGCUUGUUGGCGGGGUAACGGCCCACCAAGGCAACGAUGGGUAGCCGAUUUGAGAGGAUGAUCGGCCACACUGGAACUGAAACACGGUCCAGACUCCUACGGGAGGCAGCAGUGGGGAAUAUUGCGCAAUGGGCGAAAGCCUGACGCAGCGACGCCGCGUGAGGGAUGAAGGUUUUCGGAUCGUAAACCUCUGUCAGAAGGGAAGAAACUACGUUGUGCUAAUCAGCAGCGUACUGACGGUACCUUCAAAGGAAGCACCGGCUAACUCCGUGCCAGCCGCCGC
rnacentral:rRNA from 1 species